UACGUAGGGUGCAAGCGUUGUCCGGAAUUAUUGGGCGUAAAGAGCUUGUAGGCGGUUUGUCGCGUCUGCUGUGAAAUUUCGGGGCUCAACCCCGAACUUGCAGUGGGUACGGGCAGACUGGAGUGCGGUAGGGGAGAAUGGAAUUCCUGGUGUAGCGGUGGAAUGCGCAGAUAUCAGGAGGAACACCGAUGGCGAAGGCAGGUCUCUGGGCAUUAACUGACGCUGAGGAGCGAAAGCAUGGGGAGCGAACAGG
rnacentral:rRNA from 1 species